UUUAAUAUGGCAGAUUAAGUGCAAUGGAUUUAAAUUCCAUAAAUAAAGAAAAAUCUUUUAUUAAUA
rnacentral:tRNA from 2 species